rnacentral:rRNA from 1 species
ACUCCUACGGGAGGCAGCAGUGGGGAAUAUUGCACAAUGGGGGAAACCCUGAUGCAGCCAUGCCGCGUGUGUGAAGAAGGCCUUCGGGUUGUAAAGCACUUUCAGCGAGGAGGAAAAGGGGUGUAAGUUAAUACCUUACAUCUGUGACGUUACUCGCAGAAGAAGCACCGGCUAACUCCGUGCCAGCAGCCGCGGUAAUACGGAGGGUGCGAGCGUUAAUCGGAAUUACUGGGCGUAAAGCGUGCGCAGGCGGUUUGUUAAGCGAGAUGUGAAAGCCCCGGGGCUCAACCUGGGACCGCAUUUCGAACUGGCAAACUAGAGNCUUGUAGAGGGGGGUAGAAUUCCAGGUGUAGCGGUGAAAUGCGUAGAGAUCUGGAGGAAUACCGGUGGCGAAGGCGGCCCCCUGGGCANAAAGACUGACGCUCAGGCACGAAAGCGUGGGGAGCAAACAGGAUUAGA